CGGCGGCGUGCUAUACUGCAAGUCGAGCGAACAGAGAAGGAGCUUGCUCCUUCGACGUUAGCGGCGGACGGGUGAGUAACACGUGGGCAACCUACCUUAUAGUUUGGGAUAACUCCGGGAAACCGGGGCUAAUACCGAAUAAUCUGUUUCACCUCAUGGUGAAACACUGAAAGACGGUUUCGGCUGUCGCUAUAGGAUGGGCCCGCGGCGCAUUAGCUAGUUGGUGAGGUAACGGCUCACCAAGGCGACGAUGCGUAGCCGACCUGAGAGGGUGAUCGGCCACACUGGGACUGAGACACGGCCCAGACUCCUACGGGAGGCAGCAGUAGGGAAUCUUCCACAAUGGGCGAAAGCCUGAUGGAGCAACGCCGCGUGAGUGAAGAAGGAUUUCGGUUCGUAAAACUCUGUUGUAAGGGAAGAACAAGUACAGUAGUAACUGGCUGUACCUUGACGGUACCUUAUUAGAAAGCCACGGCUAACUACGUGCCAGCAGCCGCGGUAAUACGUAGGUGGCAAGCGUUGUCCGGAAUUAUUGGGCGUAAAGCGCGCGCAGGUGGUUUCUUAAGUCUGAUGUGAAAGCCCACGGCUCAACCGUGGAGGGUCAUUGGAAACUGGGAGACUUGAGUGCAGAAGAGGAUAGUGGAAUUCCAAGUGUAGCGGUGAAAUGCGUAGAGAUUUGGAGGAACACCAGUGGCGAAGGCGACUAUCUGGUCUGUAACUGACACUGAGGCGCGAAAGCGUGGGGAGCAACAGGAUUGAUACCCUGGUAGUCCACGCCGUAAAGAUGAGUGCUAGUGUUAGGGGGUUCCGCCCUUAGUGCUGCGCUAACCAUUAACACUCAGCUGGGGAGACGGUCGCAGACUGAAAUCAAGGAUUGACGGGGCCGCAAACCGUGGACAUGUGUUAAUCGAGCACCUAAAACUUACAGCCUGAAUCCGUAACAUGAAAGAAUGUUCCCUUCGGGCACGUAAGGGGGCCUG
rnacentral:rRNA from 1 species